CGAAGACUCCAGGAACCUUAGGGAAGAAGAAGAAAAUAUCCCCAGAUUCACCAUUCUAAAUGUGAUGUUCCCUGAAGCAGUCUGAAAGAGUCAAGGUUUGGAAGCUGGUAAAAUGAAGGAGAGGCAGUGGAAGGGACAACACUGCAGACUUUUCUGACACCGGACAACUGCACCACCAGAGCUGUGCCAGAGCAGGCAAAGAACAAGAGGUUAUGUAGGUUUCUUUGAGGCAUCUCUUCAAGGGUCAGUUUUGAAUGACAUUCUGCAAGUACACAGUAUCAAGGCCCUUUUUUGGCUGGGAAGUGGGACAUCUGUUGGAGUAACCUGUCAGUGGACAUCUCAAGUGGCCAGCUAACCUGCUGUGGAACGGAUCAUCCUGCAGAGGGGGAAUCAUCAGCUUACAAAUGAAAGUCACCCAAGAUGACAUCCCAAGUACUACUGGCAGACAUCAUACAUGCUGAAAUCAAAGAUGAAACUGUCAAACAGUAGGAGUGGGUGGGCUGGUUUAUAUCUUUCAGGUUACAUAAAAUAAAAAACAAUAUCAGCUAGUAAGGAAACAACUCCAGAAAUAGAGGGAGAAGACACCAGAUUCCUGAACGUAGUACAUGCCAAAGAUGCUGCAGGAAGAGACAGCAACAUCAUAUUAAAGAAAACGCUCUCAGAAGCUUUCAGUGGAAGUCGCCGCAGAGAGUGGAAAAAAGAAAAGAGAAAGAAAAACCGAAGUAUA